rnacentral:rRNA from 1 species
UACGUAGGCAGCGAGCGUUGUUCGGAAUUACUGGGCGUAAAGAGUGUGUAGGCGGUGCUCUAAGUCUGUUGUGAAAUCUCCCGGCUCAACUGGGAGGGUGCGGCGGAAACUGGAGUGCUCGAGUGUGGGAGAGGUAAGCGGAAUUCCUGGUGUAGCGGUGAAAUGCGUAGAUAUCAGGAGGAACACCUGUGGUGUAGACAGCUUACUGGACCACGACUGACGCUGAGACACGAAAAGCGUGGGUAGCAAACAGG